rnacentral:rRNA from 1 species
GACGAACGCUGGCGGCGUGCUUAACACAUGCAAGUCGAACGGUAAGGCCCUUCGGGGUACACGAGUGGCGAACGGGUGAGUAACACGUGGGUGAUCUGCCCUGCACUUCGGGAUAAGCCUGGGAAACUGGGUCUAAUGCCGGAUAGGACCCUGGGAAGCAUGUCCUGGGGUGGAAAGCUUUUGCGGUGUGGGAUGGGCCCGCGGCCUAUCAGCGUGUUGGUGGGGUGAUGGCCUACCAAGGCGACGACGGGUAGCCGGCCUGAGAGGGUGACCGGCCACACUGGGACUGAGAUACGGCCCAGACUCCUACGGGAGGCAGCAGUGGGGAAUAUUGCACAAUGGGCGCAAGCCUGAUGCAGCGACGCCGCGUGAGGGAUGACGGCCUUCGGGUUGUAAACCUCUUUCAGCACCGACGAAGCGCAAGUGACGGUAGGUGCAGAAGAAGGACCGGCCAACUACGUGCCAGCCGCCGCCGUAA